rnacentral:rRNA from 2 species
GUCAACGAUCAUACCAUGUUGAAAACACCGGUUCUCGUCCGAUCACCGAAGUUAAGCAACAUCGGGCGCGAUUAGUACUUAGAUGGGUGACCGCUUGAAACGUCGCGUGUCGUGGCAU